AUUGAACGCUGGCGGCAUGCUUUACACAUGCAAGUCGAACGGUAACAGGCCUUCGGGCGCUGACGAGUGGCGAACGGGUGAGUAAUGCAUCGGAACGUGCCCAGUCGUGGGGGAUAACGCAGCGAAAGCUGUGCUAAUACCGCAUACGAUCUGUGGAUGAAAGCGGGGGACCUUCGGGCCUCGCGCGAUUGGAGCGGCCGAUGUCAGAUUAGGUAGUUGGUGGGGUAAAGGCCCACCAAGCCGACGAUCUGGAGCUGGUCCGAGAGGACGACCGGCCACACUGGGACUGAGACACGGCCCAGACUCCUACGGGAGGCAGCAGUGGGGAAUUUUGGACAAUGGGCGCAAGCCUGAUCCAGCAAUGCCGCGUGCAGGAAGAAGGCCUUCGGGUUGUAAACUGCUUUUGUACGGAGCGAAAAGGCUCCCUCAAAUACAGGGGGCUCAUGACGGUACCGUAAGAAUAAGCACCGGCUAACUACGUGCCAGCAGCCGCCGUAAUAC
rnacentral:rRNA from 1 species